GCCAAUCUUUUUAUUCGCAUGAUUUGACUGAAAAAUACACAAAUUUGGCUAAAACAAAUUCUCUCUAUCCCAUCGAAAUUUUUUACAACCGGUUUAAUCCAAUGACAAGCCAAAAACAUUCAGACCAAAAACAAAUGUUGAUGAUUAAAUCAGGCCAAAAAGCCGGUUUAAUUCUAUUUGGCUUUCCUCUCCAAAACCUCCUCAUCUUCUUGAUUCCGAUUCUUGAACUGUGUUUUUUUUUACCAGUUUUAGCCAUUGAAUUCACUCGGUUUCUGCAAUCUCCAUCACUUUCUUCUUGUAAAGCUUCUCCUCUGCGUCUCUUAAGAACUUGAAUCUCGACAAUGGCGAAGAUGACGAUGAUGAUGGUGAAUGUGAUGAUGAUGAUGGCGAUGGUCUCACUAGCCUUUUGUUUCUCUUUCAGAGGUCUUGUUCUGUGUUUAUGAUUCAUUUGGUUUCGUGGGAGGCAUGUGUGUGUUUCGUUUGUGUGUUUGCAAAUUUCAGGUUGUUUCGUGUGUGUGUCUCUACCCUUUGUUGCGUUGCUUGAUUUGAUUCAGCGUCCAAGCACAAAAGAAGAAGCUACGGCAGCUAAGGUUUUGUUACCAGAACCUCUACAGGUGUUUCUCCUUCUAUCUUGCUUCCCAGAUCAACUGUGUCACCUCAGAUUAUUGCCAAGAGUUCAUCAGAUUGGAUAUGUGGUUUUUGCAGAAUGGACUUAAGAGUCUCAAUACACACUAGCAUUAGCAUUACUCAAUGCUCAGGUGUGAAAAGAGCUAGAUCAUUCAACAGGCAAAGCUUGCAUUGCAUUGGAACAACUCCAAACCCGUACCAGCAAUCUAUUUCCACCAUUGGAAAGACUUUAUCUGGUUUUGAUGAGGAUAAUUUGGAGAUGCUACAACACAUGAUCACCAAAGAAUGUUCAAGCUUUACUCUGUACUUUGGUUAAGCGGUUUUGCUGAAUAUGAAGGUAACAUAGAAGACGAAGAAUAUGAAAAAGAUGCUCAAAUACACAGGGAGUAAUCAGGAUUAAACUUCGAGCUGGUUUUUGCAGAACAUUGGGGAUGAAUCAGGAAGAAACGGAAAUUGAAGAACAUCUUUUGACCUAAAUGAUACAUUCUCAGCGAAGAGUUUAAUUAUAUUUAUGUUUUCGUCCAUGUAUAUUUUAUGUAUUUGGUUUUUUCCAACAAUACCCCACAUUUUCUUAUUCAAACUCAACAGUCUCUUCUUCAUACAAUAGGAAAAACUUAAAAGUAAAAAAAACCAAUAUUCU